ACAAGCGGUGGAGCAUGUGGUUUAAUUCGAAGCAACGCGAAGAACCUUACCAGGUCUUGACAUCCCCUGACAACCCAAGAGAUUGGGCGUUCCCCUCGGGGGGACAGGGUGACAGGUGGUGCAUGGUUGUCGUCAGCUCGUGUCGUGAGAUGUUGGGUUAAGUCCCGCAACGAGCGCAACCCUCGCCUCUAGUUGCCAGCAUUCGGUUGGGCACUCUAGAGGGACUGCCGGCGACAAGUCGGAGGAAGGUGGGGGAUGACGUCAAAUCAUCAUGCCCCUUAUGACCUGGGCUACACACGUGCUACAAUGGGCGGUACAAAGGGCUGCGAACCCGCGAGGGGGAGCCAAUCCCAUAAAGCCAUUCGUAGUCCGGAUCGCAGUCUGCAACUCGACUGCGUGAAGUCGGAAUCGCUAGUAAUCGUGGAUCAGAAUGUCACGGUGAAUACGUUCCCGGGUCUU
rnacentral:rRNA from 1 species